AGAGUUUGAUCCUGGCUCAGGAUGAACGCUGGCGGCGUGCUUAACACAUGCAAGUCGAACGAAGCAAUUUAGCGGAAGUUUUCGGAUGGAAGCUAGAUUGACUGAGUGGCGGACGGGUGAGUAACGCGUGGGUAACCUGCCUCACACUGGGGGACAACAGUUAGAAAUGACUGCUAAUACCGCAUAAGCGCACAGGACCGCAUGGUCCGGUGUGAAAAACUCCGGUGGUGUGAGAUGGACCCGCGUUUGAUUAGCUAGUUGGUGGGGUAACGGCCUACCAAGGCGACGAUCAAUAGCCGACCUGAGAGGGUGACCGGCCACAUUGGGACUGAGACACGGCCCAAACUCCUACGGGAGGCAGCAGUGGGGAAUAUUGCACAAUGGGGGAAACCCUGAUGCAGCGACGCCGCGUGAGUGAAGAAGUAUUUCGGUAUGUAAAGCUCUAUCAGCAGGGAAGAAAAUGACGGUACCUGACUAAGAAGCCCCGGCUAACUACGUGCCAGCAGCCGCGGUAAUACGUAGGGGGCAAGCGUUAUCCGGAUUUACUGGGUGUAAAGGGAGCGUAGACGGUAAAGCAAGUCUGAAGUGAAAGCCCGGGGCUCAACCCCGGGACUGCUUUGGAAACUGUUUAACUAGAGUGCUGGAGAGGUAAGCGGAAUUCCUAGUGUAGCGGUGAAAUGCGUAGAUAUUAGGAGGAACACCAGUGGCGAAGGCGGCUUACUGGACAGUAACUGACGUUGAGGCUCGAAAGCGUGGGGAGCAAACAGGAUUAGAUACCCUGGUAGUCCACGCCGUAAACG
rnacentral:rRNA from 1 species